rnacentral:rRNA from 1 species
CACCUCUAGCAUUCCUAGUAUUAGAGGCACUGCCUGCCCAGUGACGUCUGUUUAAACGGCCGUGGUAUCCUAACUGUGCAAAGGUAGCAUAAUCACUUGUUCCCUAAACAGGGACUUGUAUGAGCGGCCACACAAGGUUUCACUGUCUCUUACUUCCAAUCAGUGAAAUUGACCUUCCCGUGAAGAGGCGGGAAUAACUAAUAAGACAAGAAGACCCUAUGGAACUUUAAUUAACUGAUUCACGAAAAAUAACAUACAAACCUAACCUUCAGGGACAAGAGAACCUUUGACUGAAUCAGCAAUUUCGGUUGAGGUGACCUCGGAGAACAAAAUAACCUCCGAGUGAUUAAAAUCCAGACUAACUAGUUGAAAUAUACAAUCACUUAUUGAUCCAAACUAUUGAUCAACGGAACAAGUUACCCUAGGGAUAACAGUGCAAUCCUAUUCCAGAGUCCAUAUCGACAAUUAGGGUUUACGACCUCGAUGUUGGAUCAAGACAUCCUAAUGGUGCAACCGCUAUUAAGGGUUCGUUUGUUCAACGAUUAAAGUCUU